rnacentral:sRNA from 1 species
UAGAGGCGGUGGAGAUAAGAACGGAGCCAAGGUGGUGGAGGCGGGAGGCGGGAGGGAAACCAGUCGGGCA